rnacentral:lncRNA from 1 species
UCGUUACUGUUUUCUGCGCCAGGGCCAGUGCUAGGCGCUUCCUUAUAGGAUUGAAUAAGAGAUUUAUCUUAUUUCGUCCGGAACAAGGUUAUUUCGAUCCUACACGGUCUUAACUUGUAUAAAAGAGGUUCUAAACCUAUUUUGAAGGGGAGGAACGCUUUUCAGGGUAUCUUUUGACGAAGGAAGAGCAUAGAGCCGCUAUGGAGAUCGGG